GAUGAACGCUGGCGGCGUGCCUAACACAUGCAGGUCGAGCGAUUCUCUUCGGAGAAGAGCGGCGGACGGGUGAGUAACGCGUGGGUAACCUGCCCUGUACACACGGAUAACAUACCGAAAGGUAUGCUAAUACGAGAUAAUAUACUUUUAUCGCAUGGUAGAAGUAUCAAAGCUUUUGCGGUACAGGAUGGACCCGCGUCUGAUUAGCUAGUUGGUAAGGUAACGGCUUACCAAGGCGACGAUCAGUAGCCGACCUGAGAGGGUGAUCGGCCACAUUGGAACUGAGACACGGUCCAGACUCCUACGGGAGGCAGCAGUGGGGAAUAUUGCACAAUGGGCGAAAGCCUGAUGCAGCAACGCCGCGUGAGCGAUGAAGGCCUUCGGGUCGUAAGCUCUGUCCUCAAGGAAGAUAAUGACGGUACUUGAGGAGGAAGCCCCGGCUAACUACGUGCCAGCCGCCGCGGUAA
rnacentral:rRNA from 1 species